UACGUAGGGCGCAAGCGUUGUCCGGAUUCACUGGGUGUAAAGGGUGCGCAGGCGGGAAAGUAAGUUAGAGGUGAAAUCUCACAGCUCAACUGUGAAACUGCCUUUGAUACUGCUUUUCUUGAGUUAGGGAGAGGUUGAUGGAAUUCCAGGUGUAGCGGUGAAAUGCGUAGAUAUCUGGAGGAACACCGGUGGCGAAGGCGGCAUCCUGGACCGACACUGACGCUGAGGAGCGAAAGCCAGGGGAGCAAACGGG
rnacentral:rRNA from 1 species